rnacentral:rRNA from 1 species
UGGGGAAUUUUGGACAAUGGGCGAAAGCCUGAUCCAGCAAUGCCGCGUGUGUGAAGAAGGCCUUCGGGUUGUAAGCACUUUUUGUUCCGGAAAGAAAUCCUUGGCUCUAAUACAGUCGGGGGAUGACGGUACCGGAAGAAUAAGCACCGGCUAACUACGUGCCAGCAGCCGCGGUAAUACGUAGGGUGCAAGCGUUAAUCGGAAUUACUGGGCGUAAAGCGUGCGCAGGCGGUUUGCUAAGACCGAUGUGAAAUCCCCGGGCUCAACCUGGGAACUGCAUUGGUGACUGGCAGGCUAGAGUAUGGCAGAGGGGGGUAGAAUUCCACGUGUAGCAGUGAAAUGCGUAGAGAUGUGGAGGAAUACCGAUGGCGAAGGCAGCCCCCUGGGCCAAUACUGACGCUCAUGCACGAAAGCGUGGGGAGCAAACAGGAUUAGAUACCCGUGGUAGUCCAGCGCCCUAAACGAUGUCAACUAGUUGUUGGGGAUUCAUUUCCUUAGUAACGU